rnacentral:lncRNA from 1 species
CUCCCUGCGGCCUUCCGGCUGAGCGGGAUCACGUCUCGGCCAAGCGCAGCAGCGGGCCUGAAGUGGUGGGGACGCUGCGCAGCAGCUCGGCGCCCAGCAGGUCCAGCAGGACGUAACGCAGCCCCAGGGAAGGCCUCGCCCUGCGCUGCCCCAACUCCGCCUGCAGCACUUCCCGGUGCCGCGAGCGCCGCACCGCGGCCAGCAGCUGCUUCCGGCCGCGAAGGAGGGCUCGGAUGAAGCGGCCGGCGCCCGGCAGAGCCAACCACCAACUGCCGGCGUCGCGCACCGUCAGCACGCCCGCUGCCACCAGCUGCGUGACGUCGCUGUCCCGGAGCCCCAUCUCUUCCAGCUGCCCCCUCUCGAAGCUGAGCAGCGGCCGCACCCCAUCCAGGAAGCGCCGCACCAACGGGGCGUGGGGGGACCCCUCCACGGCCCGCAGCACCGUCUCCCGGUACUCCUCGGCUCCCACCACGGCCACGGUGUCGGGGCCCAACCCGAGGUGCAACAACCGGACGCGGCCGUCGGCCUGCAGGCGGUUCUACCGGAGGC